rnacentral:rRNA from 1 species
UGAAUCUGCGAACGGCUCAUUAUAUCAGCAAUAAUUUAUUUGAUGGUUCCUUACUACAUGGUAACUGUAGUAAUUCUAGAGCUAAUACAUGCGUAAAGUCCCGACUCUUCCGGGGAGGGAUGUAUUUAUUAGAUUGAAAACCAAUGCGGGCUUUGUCCGGUUUGUGGUGAAUCAUAGUAACUUUUCGAAUGGCAUGACUUCACGUCGGCCAUAUUUCAUUCAAAUUUCUGCCCUAUCAGCUUUCGACGGUAGUGUAGUGGACUACCGUGGCGUUAACGGGUAACGGAGAAUUAGGGUUCGAUUCCGGAGAGGGAGCCUGAGAAACGGCUACCACAUCCAAGGAAGGCUGCAGGCGCGCAAAUUACCCAUCCUGACACAGGGAGGUGGUGACAAAAAAUAACA